GGAGAAGCAGGCUCCAUGCACCGGGAGCCCGACGUGGGAUUUGAUCCCGGGUCUCCAGGAUCACGCCCUGGGCCAAAGGCAGGCGCCAAACCGCUGCGCCACCCAGGGAUCCCAGAGCCUCUGUUUUAAAGGCACUACUUCCUUUCCAAGGUUCUUCUGUUAUGAAAUAACAUGAAACAAAAUUGGACUUUUUCAUCAGUUGGAGAAAUUGCAACUUGUGUUUAUCUAGCUGUUAUGACAUGCAAAAUAUUUUCUCAUGGCUUGGAAUUAAAAGGGAGUCAGAUGAAAUUAAACUGCUGUGAGACAAUAACCAAACUGUGGAAGGAGCCUCGGUGUCC